rnacentral:rRNA from 1 species
AAUCAACGCUGGCGGCGUGCCUCAGACAUGCAAGUCGAACGAUUAAAGCUCUCUUCGGAGAGUGCAUAAAGUGGCGCACGGGUGAGUAACACGUAAGUAAUCUACCUUUGAGUGGGGAAUAACAGUCGGAAACGGUUGCUAAUACCGCAUAAUGCAGCGGCAUCGCAAGAUGACAGUUGUUAAAGGAGCAAUUCGCUUGAAGAGGAGCUUGCGGCAGAUUAGCUAGUUGGUAAGGUAAUGGCUUACCAAGGCUACGAUCUGUAACCGGUCUUAGAGGACGGUCGGUCACACUGACACUGAACAACGGGUCAGACUCCUACGGGAGGCAGCAGUCGGGAAUUUUGGGCAAUGGGCGAAAGCCUGACCCAGCAACGCCGCGUGAAGGAUGAAGUAUUUCGGUAUGUAAACUUCGAAAGAAUGGGAAGAAUAAAUGACGGUACCAUUUAUAAGCUCCGGCUAACUACGUGCCAGCAGCCGCGGUAAUUCUCGCGUAA